rnacentral:rRNA from 1 species
AUUGAACGCUGGCGGCAUGCUUUACACAUGCAAGUCGAACGGCAGCGCGGGCUUCGGCCUGGCGGCGAGUGGCGAACGGGUGAGUAAUGCAUCGGAACGUGCCCAGUAGUGGGGGAUAGCCCGGCGAAAGCCGGAUUAAUACCGCAUACGACCUGAGGGUGAAAGCGGGGGAGCGAAAGGCCUCGCGCUAUUGGAGCGGCCGAUGUCGGAUUAGCCAGUUGGUGGGGUAAAGGCUUACCAAGGCGACGAUCCGUAGCUGGUCUGAGAGGACGACCAGCCACACUGGGACUGAGACACGGCCCAGACUCCUACGGGAGGCAGCAGUGGGGAAUUUUGGACAAUGGGGGCAAACCUGAUCCAGCCAUGCCGCGUGCGGGAAGAAGGCCUUCGGGUUGUAAACCGCUUUUGUUCGGGAAGAAAUCCUCUGGGCUAAUACCCCGGGGGGAUGACGGUACCGGAAGAAUAAGCACCGGCUAACUACGUG